rnacentral:lncRNA from 1 species
CCACACCAAAAAUAGGAGGGAUUGGAAAAAAAUAUUUUUUAAAUUUCUUUUUCAUUUCAAAUAUUGCAUUUUCAUAAAUUUCCCCUCCCUCGUUUAAAAUCAGCAAAUAAAUUAGCAAGUGCGGCAAUAUAUACUAAAUAGUUUGGAAUUGUAGGAUAAUAUUGGUCAGAUAAAGCAGUUGUAGCCACACUAAAAUGUUCUAAAAAAUCUAUAAGAAUCUUAACGUUAUUCCAAUCUUGAUUAGUUAGCAUGUCAUUAUCUUCAUCCUCACAAUCCCUAGAAUUAUAAGUAGCGGUUAUUGGGUUUCUAUAUUCGUAAGCAACUACUAAGCUUUCAUACAUGUAGUUUCACCUAGUGGGGCAAGAUUUAGGAACCUUUCUUUCUCUAAGGCCAUAUUCGUACACAUUUUUUAUAAUAUUCUCUAAGUCUACUUCUACGGUUUGAAUAAAAAAGCCAAUUAAGAGN